rnacentral:rRNA from 1 species
AUUGAACGCUGGCGGCAUGCUUUACACAUGCAAGUCGAACGGUAACAGGCCGCAAGGUGCUGACGAGUGGCGAACGGGUGAGUAAUGCAUCGGAACGUGCCCAGUCGUGUGGGAUAACGCAGCGAAAGCUGUGCUAAUACCGCAUACGAUCUAUGGAUGAAAGCGGGGGACCGUAAGGCCUCGCGCGAUUGGAGCGGCCGAUGUCAGAUUAGGUAGUUGGUGGGGUAAAGGCCUACCAAGCCGACGAUCUGUAGCUGGUCUGAGAGGACGACCAGCCACACUGGGACUGAGACACGGCCCAGACUCCUACGGGAGGCAGCAGUGGGGAAUUUUGGACAAUGGGCGCAAGCCUGAUCCAGCAAUGCCGCGUGCAGGAAGAAGGCCUUCGGGUUGUAAACUGCUUUUGUACGGAACGAAACGGUCUGGGUUAAUACCCUGGGCUAAUGACGGUACCGUAAGAAUAAGCACCGGCUAACUACGUGCCAGCAGCCGCAGUAAGAC